CAUUCACGUGCUACGCGUCUCCGG
rnacentral:siRNA from 1 species